UCCGGUUUGUCACCGGCAGUCACCCUAGAGUGCCCAGCUUGACCUGCUGGCAACUAAGAUCAAGGGUUGCGCUCGUUGCGGGACUUAACCCAACAUCUCACGACACGAGCUGACGACAACCAUGCACCACCUGUCUCCCCUGUCCCCGAAAGGCCUGCACCAUCUCUGGCACAUUCAGGGGGAUGUCAAGACCUGGUAAGGUUCUUCGCGUUGCUUCGAAUUAAACCACAUACUCCACUGCUUGUGCGGGUCCCCGUCAAUUCCUUUGAGUUUCAGUCUUGCGACCGUACUCCCCAGGCGGAAUGCUUAAUGUGUUAACUUCGGCACCCAGGGUAUUGAAACCCCUGACACCUAGCAUUCAUCGUUUACAGCGUGGACUAC
rnacentral:misc_RNA from 1 species